AGAGAGAGAGAGAGAGAGAGAGAGAGAGAGAGAGAGAACUAACUACCCGUUUGUGUGUAUUGCACGUGUUUGUUAGCUUGAUAUAUGUGUAUCAUCAGUCUGAUGAUGAUUUGAAUAUAAAUUUUAUUUAUUUGUUUAUUUCUAAAUUAGUUCGUGUAUCAGUGUAUUUAUGUAGACGAGGAUUAAGCUCUGUACAAGGUGCGCAAGCCGCACGUCUUUGUGACGUGGCAGUGGGGAGGUGAGGUGAGGUGGCAGCAGGGUGAUGAGGUGGCGACGAACGGUCAGCCAGGGUUAGUUGCUGUCCGCCCCUACCUGAAGUGUGUUGUGAUGGAUCACUGGAUGUAACAUUUAUUCAAGACUUGGGAUUAUUGUAUUAUGCUGUUUAUGAAUCCAACUACUGGUUCGGAAAGUUCAUGGAGGCAAUCCAUAUGCGGCUGGAGCUACCGUUGUUUGCUUCAUGGUAAUCAUCAGUGUUUCCUUUGCUAAAAUGAACCUAACACAUAGCUCGGGGUAGGGCCAACUCGGCCCUUUUCCAUCUCGGCCCAUUAUGAAAAGGCAACUCGGACCAUCUUGUGGACCAACUCGGACCAUUCUCAUUUUCUGAAAUACCAAGUCGGACCACCAUGUUUGCCGACUCGGACC